CCUACGGGAGGCAGCAGUGAGGAAUAUUGGGCAAUGGGCGCGAGCCUGAACCAGCCAAGUAGCGUGAAGGAUGAAGGCCCUACGGGUGGUAAACUUCUUUUGUAAAGGAAUAAAGUGAGGCACGUGUGCCUUUUUGUAUGUACGUUAUGAAUAAGGGUCGGCUAACUCCGUGCCAGCAGCCGCGGUAAGAUGGAGGAUCCGAGCGUUAUCCGGAUUUGUUUGGGUUAAAGGGAGCGUAGGUGGGUUGGUAAGUCAGUUGUGAAAGUUUACGGCUCAACCGUAAAAUAGCACUUGAUAUUGGGAGCCUUGAGUACGGGUGAGGUAGGCGGAAUUCGUGGUGUAGGAGUGAAAUGCGUAGAUAUCACGAAGAACACCGAUUGCGAAGGCAGCCUCCUAAACUGCCACUGACAUUGAUGCGCGAAAGUGUGGGUAUCAAACAGGAUUAGAUACCCGGGUAGUC
rnacentral:rRNA from 1 species